UAUUUAUUUAAUUCAUAAUAGGUAAUUUUGAAAUAAAUGAUCAUACUAAAUUACUUAUUACUAUUGAUAUCAAGGUAUUUAUCUUAAUGUACAAAUUUACACAUAAAAAUAUAUUGUAGAAAAAUAGAAUCAUUGCUCAUAUUAAUGAUUUCAUAAAAUCAUAUUAAUGAUUUUAGAAAUAAUGAUAAAAAAUAUCUUGUGCUAUAAAAAUGUAAAUGCACAGUCAUACUUUUUUAUUAUCAUAGAAGUAAUUUCUAAUAUUGAAUUCUAAGAGUUAGUGAAUUUCAAAAGACACGACUUUUAAAAUGAUAAUGCAAAUUUUGUUUAUCUUUAAGAAUGGCAAUACAUAGUGAACUUGGUGUCAUUUCUGCCUAAGAAAAAAAAAGAUAUAAGAAAAUCUUUCUGGAUACUUAAGAUAAUAACAAAACAAUAGAACUUGUAAAAAAAAUCAAUCUUCUUUCUUAAAAAAUAAUAAAAAGCCUGUAAAAAUCCCAAGAAAACAGAUUUCCUUAUCAAUUUGUGUAUUUAUGUGUAUAUAUAUAUAUAUAUAUAUAUAUAUAUAUCAAAUUUUAAUUUUUCUUUAAAUUAAUCAGAUUACAAUGAAAAAAAGAUUACCAUCUCAAAGAAGAGUCUUAUUGAAUCUGAAAGUUACAUAUUUGAUCAAGAAGAACUUUCAAGUUUAGGAGCAAUGAUAUCCUUUAAUUUCUUCAUAUUUCAAUAGACCAAAAAAUUUAAAAUCUUUUAGAAGUUUAACUGUACUUUUCUAUUUAAAUAAAAUAAAAGAAUUUUGUGUGAUAUUUUGAGUAUUUGAAUAAAUACACAAAUAAUAAAGGCGUCAAUUAUGGUCUCAAAAAUAAUGAAACCUAAGAUAGUCAUUUCUUUCAGGUAGAACAAAUUUAUAGAUGAAAAUUUGUUCCCAAAAAAAAUCAUAAAAAUAAAAAUAAAAUAAAAAAUGAACUUUCCAGAUCUUUCAUAUGUUCAAUACGAGUUCAUAAUCAAUAAACUAAGUUUUCUAAAAGAACUAAAACUCAGUAAAAGCAGAAAAAAAAUUCUUGCACACACUUGAAAUUCUACAACAACAAUGAUAAUAUUUUUUCAAUAAUUCAUCCUUUGUAUUAAAAAAAAAAAAAAAAAAAAAAAAAAA
rnacentral:lncRNA from 1 species